AUGAUAGAAAAAAUGAAGCACGAGUUCAAAGAGCAGCUCAAGAUCAAAGGACUCGUGGACAAGAUUAAAAACAACUUGAAUUAUCUUCCGGACAGGAAUAUGUAUGAAUGCCCCCUGUUUAUCAUCAAAGUUGAUGAGCUGAUGGAUGUUUCCGCAUGGGAGGAUACCAGAAAUGCUUUGAGCCUCUUAAACUGCAGCGCCGAUUUAAUGAUCGUCACCACCACAAAGGACAUCCAGCUGGCUAAAGAAUACUGCUAUCCACCACGAGAACCUAUAGACUAUUCUCUUGCUGGUCUCUACCAUGAUACAGUGCUCAAGCUUACUGGUCAGCAGAAGAAUGAAGACAGCUACAACCCCCAAAUUUUUCAUGAUAUCUUGUAUGAGUGUGAGCCACAUGAAUUCUGCAUGAAGGAUCUUCACUCAUGCUUUGUAUGCUAA
rnacentral:rRNA from 1 species